rnacentral:rRNA from 1 species
UACAGAGGUCUCGAGCGUUAGGCGGAAUCACUGGGCUUAAAGCGUGUGUAGGCGGAUCGGUAAGUACCUUGUGAAAUCCCACAGCUUAACUGUGGAACUGCUUGGUAUACUGCCAGUCUUGAGCCACUUAGGGGCUACCGGAACAAAUGGUGGAGCGGUGAAAUGCGUAGAUAUCAUUUGGAACGCCAAUGGUGAAAACAGGUUGCUGGGGGUGUGCUGACGCUGAGACACGAAAGCCAGGGGAGCGAACGGG